GAUGAACGCUGGCGGCGUGCCUAAUACAUGCAAGUCGAGCGAACAGAUGAGGAGCUUGCUCCUCUGACGUUAGCGGCGGACGGGUGAGUAACACGUGGAUAACCUACCUAUAAGACUGGGAUAACUUCGGGAAACCGGAGCUAAUACCGGAUAAUAUAUUGAACCGCAUGGUUCAAUAGUGAAAGACGGUUUUGCUGUCACUUAUAGAUGGAUCCGCGCCGCAUUAGCUAGUUGGUAAGGUAACGGCUUACCAAGGCAACGAUGCGUAGCCGACCUGAGGGGGUGAUCGGCCACACUGGAACUGAGACACGGUCCAGACUCCUACGGGAGGCAGAAGUAGGGAAUCUUCCGCAAUGGGCGAAAGCCUGACGGAGCAACGCCGCGUGAGUGAUGAAGGUCUUCGGAUCGUAAAACUCUGUUAUUAGGGAAGAACAAAUGUGUAAGUAACUAUGUACGUCUUGACGGUACCUAAGCAGAAAGCCACGGCUAACUACGU
rnacentral:rRNA from 1 species